rnacentral:rRNA from 1 species
UGCUGGAGGUAUCAGAAGUGCGAAUGCUGACAUAAGUAACGAUAAAGCGGGUGAAAAGCCCGCUCGCCGGAAGACCAAGGGUUCCUGUCCAACGUUAAUCGGGGCAGGGUGAGUCGACCCCUAAGGCGAGGCCGAAAGGCGUAGUCGAUGGGAAACAGGUUAAUAUUCCUGUACUUGGUGUUACUGCGAAGGGGGGACGGAGAAGGCUAUGUUAGCCGGGCGACGGUUGUCCCGGUUUAAGCAUGUAGGCUGGUUAUCCAGGCAAAUCCGGAUAAUCAAGGCUGAGGUGUGAUGACGAGGCACUACGGUGCUGAAGUAACAAAUGCCCUGCUUCCAGGAAAAGCCUCUAAGCAUCAGGUAACAUCAAAUCGUACCCCAAACCGACACAGGUGGUCAGGUAGAGAAUACCAAGGCGCUUGAGAGAACUCGGGUGAAGGAACUAGGCAAAAUGGUGCCGUAACUUCGGGAGAAGGCACGCUGGUGUGUAGGUGAAGCCCCUGCGGGUGGAGCUGAGACCAGUCGAAGAUACCAGCUGGCUGCAACUGUUUAUUAAAAACACAGCACUGUGCAAACACGAAAGUGGACGUAUACGGUGUGACGCCUGCCCGGUGCCGGAAGGUUAAUUGAUGGGGUUAUCCGUAAGGAGAAGCUCUUGAUCGAAGCCCCGGUAAACGGCGGCCGUAACUAUAACGGUCCUAAGGUAGCGAAAUUCCUUGUCGGGUAAGUUCCGACCUGCACGAAUGGCGUAAUGAUGGCCAGGCUGUCUCCACCCGAGACUCAGUGAAAUUGAACUCGCUGUGAAGAUGCAGUGUACCCGCGGCAAGACGGAAAGACCCCGUGAACCUUUACUAUAGCUUGACACUGAACAUUGAGCCUUGAUGUGUAGGAUAGGUGGGAGGCUUUGAAGCGUGGACGCCAGUCUGCGUGGAGCCAACCUUGAAAUACCACCCUUUAAUGUUUGAUGUUCUAACGUUGGCCCCUUAUCGGGGUUGCGGACAGUGUCUGGUGGGUAGUUUGACUGGGGCGGUCUCCUCCCAAAGCGUAACGGAGGAGCACGAAGGUUAGCUAAUCCUGGUCGGACAUCAGGAGGUUAGUGCAAUGGCAUAAGCUAGCUUGACUGCGAGCGUGACGGCGCGAGCAGGUGCGAAAGCAGGUCAUAGUGAUCCGGUGGUUCUGAAUGGAAGGGCCAUCGCUCAACGGAUAAAAGGUACUCCGGGGAUAACAGGCUGAUACCGCCCAAGAGUUCAUAUCGACGGCGGUGUUUGGCACCUCGAUGUCGGCUCAUCACAUCCUGGGGCUGAAGUAGGUCCCAAGGGUAUGGCUGUUCGCCAUUUAAAGUGGUACGCGAGCUGGGUUUAGAACGUCGUGAGACAGUUCGGUCCCUAUCUGCCGUGGGCGCUGGAGAAUUGAGGGGGGCUGCUCCUAGUACGAGAGGACCGGAGUGGACGCAUCACUGGUGUUCGGGUUGUCAUGCCAAUGGCACUGCCCGGUAGCUAAAUGCGGAAGAGAUAAGUGCUGAAAGCAUCUAAGCACGAAACUUGCCCCGAGAUGAGUUCUCCCUGAGACUUUAAGUCUCCUGAAGGAACGUUAAAGACGAUGACGUUGAUAGGCCGGGUGUGUAAGCGCAGCGAUGCGUUGAGCUAACCGGUACUAAUGAACCGUGAGGCUUAACCUUACAACGCCGAAG